rnacentral:lncRNA from 1 species
AAAAAAUUCUAGUUACUGCACUACUUAAUAGAAAAACAUAUAAUAUCAAUAAAGUCUAACAAUUUUGCAAAAUGUACCAAAACAUGAGCAAUACCUAAAGCUCGUCCAAAAACAAAGUCACCUAGGGAAUUAUCUUAUAAAAGAACUUGAAAGCUCGUCGCCAUGAAAUCUCGAAGUCCAUGUUCUGAAAAUUAUCCAUCUACUGU